UGUUUUAUGAGUUCUUCUCUCUGCCACAAACUUUUUUGUGGUCUAUAAUGGAAUGAUCCACUUCUUUCAAAGAAGGGACCUCUAUUUAUAUAUUUUCAAAAUUAGAUUUUCAUUCGGCAAAUGUUGCUCGCCUAGCGAAUCUGAGCUUUCUUUAAAUGGAGGAAAGUGAUAGCUCAUCCUCAAGGUCACUAAACUAUCUUACAUUGAUGGAAAAAUAGAUGAUCGCCCAACAAAUUUUCUCUUGUAUUUUCCGUCAAAACUCUCUGGAAUCCUUCGCUUUUAGCUUGCUCAUCUUAACUAGCAAAAGUACUUUGGAUCAUAAUCCUGGAUCUUUAUCCUUCUUGGUCAUUAAUCUCAAAAAUCUACAACAUAUGAAAGGAAAUAGUUCAAGGUAGCUUAAUUAGCAUAAAACUAUGUAUUUAUAUGAAAUUGGAGAUUUUCCUAUAUUACUUGCAAAAUAAGUUAUUAAACGCUUUAAUUAAAUAGGUCAAAUAACCAAAAUUUGGGAUAUAUACCAACUCUCUCCAACUUAGAAAUUUCUUUUGUCCUCAAACAAAAAUCCUCAAAAAAAUUUCAAAAAGUAAAUCAACAAUGAUGCAUAUUAAAGUUUGGCUUAAAUGCACUUUUAGUAACCCCCUAACUUUGUCCCUUUUUCAAGUAGUCAAUUUUGACUCGUGCGUGAUUAUAGUUGAACUAUGCAUGAUUCUACUAACUUUACCCCCUUUUACAAGUAGCCAAUCAUUUUGAAUCUUUGCACCAUGCAUGAUUCCACUAAAUUGCACAACUAAGACAAAUGUGCACAACCCUCCUAAGAUCAAAACAUGAAUAUGAGAAUGACUCGGAUUUAAGAAAAUCAUAAAUUACAGCGGGGUGUCUACAAAACAAACUAUGAAACUAGCAAUGCUCAACAACUCUAAAAAGGAAUCAAAGAAUCAAAAGUCAAACACAUCGACCACGAACAGAAACUCAACCGCAACAACUCUAGCACUGCCGUCGGCAGAUCCUGGAGCCAUAACCAUCAAGAACCCAUCCAGAUAUCUAAGAAAACCGAAAUUUUUGAAAUAUCUACCGUUAAAUAGAUCUGUGCAUACGACAUCCAACUUCUACCACUGUGAAGUAUGUGUAAAUGACCCUUGUAUGGACCACCGCCAUGAUAAAAGGCGGAGGUUGUUGAUGCUCACCCAAACAGAGGUUGCUGCGAACAGCCCAAACCAAUGGAGCUUUGGAGGACGUCAGGAGGAUGGAGACACCGCGAACUAGAACAACCUCAACCAAAAUAACCGAUGUCGAAAACGCCGACAAAUCUAGGAUGUGGGUGGUGCGGAAAAAGAAUUGAUUCUUUUUAAAUACAUAUAUUGCUUAUCGAAUAACGUUAGCAAUUCUCGUAGCAAUUGCAUGUGCAAAACGUAGUUGUAUAACUUGUUUUAUCAUCUAUUAAAAAGAAAUUUUAAAUGAAAUAUAUUUAUUAUAAUGAUUUAAUAAACGAUUUUUCAUCUCAAAAGCUCAAAAAAUAAAAUUUAAAUAAUAUAUUUUUCCAAAAACAAACUAAUUUGAAAAGGACCCAAUUCUUAUAAUUUGCUUUAGACCUUUUUUUUUUUUUUUGAGCAAAAUUUGCUUUAGACCUUAUUGGUUGAGACGGUCCAUAUGUAUAAUUAAUUUGGUUAAAUAAAUUAUAAUUUAUUGUUUAAAUACUUCUAUUUUCAAUAUUAAUCAAAGUUAAAUGAAUUGCAACCAAAGUUGUUUGGGCUCCAGUGGCAAUGAGCUCCUUCCAAGGACGUACCGGGGGAAUAUCGGGUCCGAUUCCCAGGAGGAACAACGCUUGGUCAGUGCACAUGCCUCUACGCAUGAGCCGAAUUAGUCGUCUACUUUUGAUGGAUCGGAAACCGAUACGAAAGCAAAAAAAAAAAAAGUUAGAUGAAUUGCACCCCCAACUCAGGCUCCUAGAUCCACCAUUGUAUACAAACAUCAUCACACGAAUGCGGUUUCGUUUUUUAC
rnacentral:lncRNA from 1 species